rnacentral:rRNA from 1 species
AUUGAACGCUGGCGGCAGGCCUAACACAUGCAAGUCGAACGGUAACAGAAAGCAGCUUGCUGCUUUGCUGACGAGUGGCGGACGGGUGAGUAAUGUCUGGGAAACUGCCUGAUGGAGGGGGAUAACUACUGGAAACGGUAGUUAAUACCGCAUAACGUCGCAAGACCAAAGAGGGGGACCUUCGGGCCUUUUGCCAUCGGAUGUGCCCAGAUGGGAUUAGCUAGUAGGUGGGGUAAAGGCUCACCUAGGCGACGAUCCCUAGCUGGUAUGAGAGGAUGACCCGCCACACUGGAACUGAGACACGGUCCAGACUCCUACGGGAGGCAGCAGUGGGGAAUAUUGCACAAUGGGCGCAAGCCUGAUGCAGCCAUGCCGCGUGUAUGAAGAAGGCCUUCGGGUUGUAAAGUACUUUCAGUGGGGAGGAAGGGAGUAAAGUUAAUACCUUUGCUCAUUGACGUUACCCGCAGAAGAAGCACCGGCUAACUCCGUG